rnacentral:rRNA from 1 species
GGGUCAGUAGGUUGGUCGUGCCACCGGUACGUACUGGUCUCACUGAUUCCUCCUUCCUGAAUAACCGUAAUGCCAUUAAUUUGGUGUUGCGGGGAAACAGGACUGUUACUUUGAAAAAAUUAGAGUGUUUAAAGCAAGCUAACGCUUGAAUACAUUAGCAUGGAAUAAUGAAAUAGGACGAUCGAUCCUAUUUUGUUGGUUUCUAGGAUUGACGUA